UAAAUUUUCUUGGAUGUGAAAAUAGGGUUUUGGGCUGCUCUUAUAUAAUACAAGGAGGUGAAAUGCAGUGAUGCGAUGAUGAGUGAAGUAUAGUCUGACCUGGUAUUGCCAUUGCUUCAGUGUUGGCUUUGACCAGGGUAUGAUCCCUUAAUCUUCUCUCUGAGCUGAUUCUGGUUGUGGUUUUUCCACAUUGGUGAAAAAUCUGGCUUUGAUACCUUCACAGAGGACUACGCUAUUUCAAUCCUAAAUCUGGUUCAGUUCCCUUACUGACUUAUUUAUUAAAAUGUUUAAUUAA